UACGUAGGGUGCGAGCGUUGUCCGGAAUUAUUGGGCGUAAAGGGCUCGUAGGCGGUUUGUCGCGUCGGGAGUGAAAACCAGGUGCUUAACACCUGGCUUGCUUUCGAUACGGGCUGGCUAGAGGUAGGUAGGGGAGAACGGAAUUCCUGGUGUAGCGGUGAAAUGCGCAGAUAUCAGGAGGAACACCGGUGGCGAAGGCGGUUCUCUGGGCCUUACCUGACGCUGAGGAGCGAAAGCGUGGGGAGCGAACAGG
rnacentral:rRNA from 1 species